rnacentral:rRNA from 1 species
UACGUAGGGUGCGAGCGUUAAUCGGAAUUACUGGGCGUAAAGCGUGCGCAGGCGGUUUUGUAAGCCAGAUGUGAAAUCCCCGGGCUUAACCUGGGAACUGCAUUUGUGACUGCAUCGCUGGAGUGCGGCAGAGGGGGAUGGAAUUCCGCGUGUAGCAGUGAAAUGCGUAGAUAUCUGGAGGAACACCGGUGGCGAAGGCGGCAUCCUGGACCGAUACUGACGCUGAUGAGCGAAAGCCAGGGGAGCAAACGGG